rnacentral:rRNA from 1 species
GUCUGUGUGAAUUAAUUAUAGAGUCUAGCCUGCCCACUGAGUGAUUUAAAGGGCCGCGGUAAUUUGACCGUGCGAAGGUAGCAUAAUCAGUAGUCUUUUAAUUGGAGGCUUGUAUGAAAGGUUGGACGAGGGACAGACUGUCUUCUUUGCGUAGCUUGAAUUUGACUUUUGAGUGAAAAGGCUCAAAUUGUAUAGUGGGACGAUAAGACCCUAUAAAACUUUAUAUAGAUUUAGUUUAAUUUUGAUGUUUGUAAAAAGGUGCUUUGCUAGGUUUAUAUUUCGUUGGGGCGAUGUGAAUAUAAUUUGUAACUGUUUGUUUAACUUAAUAAUUAUAAUUAGUUUUUGAUCCUUCUUUGUGGAUUAAAAGAAUAAGUUACUUUAGGGAUAACAGCGUAAUUUUCUUUGAGAGUUCUUAUCGACAAGAGUAGUUGCGACCUCGAUGUUGAAUUAAAAUUUUAGCUAGGUGUAGCCGUUUAGCUAGUGGGUCUGUUCGACCUUUAAAAUUUUACAU